rnacentral:ncRNA from 1 species
CCAGCUGAGUUUAAGCAUAUCAAUAAGCGGAGGAAAAGAAACUAACAAGGAUUCCCCUAGUAACGGCGAGCGAACCGGGAAGAGCCUAGCAUGCGUAUCGAUCGCCCUCGGCGUUUGAAUUGUAGUCUGGAGAAGCAUCCUUAGCGACGGACCGGGCCCAAGUUCCUUGGAAGGGGGCGCCAGAGAGGGUGAGAGCCCCAUUGUGUCCGGACCCUGUUGCACCACGAGGCACUAUCGGCGAGUCGGGUUGUUUGAGAAUGCAGCCCUAAUUGUGGCAUCCUAGAAUUUCAUGUCAAUCCUUAG